GGUCUGGUGGCCUAGUGGUUAAAGCAUCCUCUUGAGAUGCAGGUGGUUGUGGGAUCGAUCCCCCUGCCGAAUCA